UAUUACUAUGCCUUAGGAGUAUGGUAUGUAUAAGAUGUGUACCAAACCCCCCGGAGGGAGGGCGGGGCUCUGCUCCGUCCACCUCCCCUGAAGGCAAUAUAUAGCUAAAUGGUAAGUUAAUACUCACCAGUUAGCUAUAAGAUUGACCUUAUUUUCAGGGUAUGGAGCCACGUCGUCACACCGCAUGCUACUUCCUUAAAUAGGAUUUUCUCCCCUAAGUAAGGUCCCAUGACCUCGAGGCAUGGGAAGCGGUUGAUAUUACCUCUCUCGGCAUCUUCAGGGUCAAUCAACCAGUUGUAGCCUUCUCGUCUCGAUCAACUCUGAGUCCGAAUAGCCAGUUCCACUUGCGGUAUACGCCAUGUAUGCUCGGAAAUGAGCCCCUCCGGUUCAUUCUGACCAUCCACGGGGACUGGGAGUCUAGCUACCGAGCCUAGAGCAGAGCGGAGAUUGAGAGGGGUGUUGUUACGGUACCGUACUA